rnacentral:rRNA from 1 species
UACGAAGGGGGCUAGCGUUGCUCGGAAUCACUGGGCGUAAAGGGUGCGUAGGCGGGUCUUUAAGUCAGGGGUGAAAUCCUGGAGCUCAACUCCAGAACUGCCUUUGAUACUGAGGAUCUUGAGUAUGGGAGAGGUGAGUGGAACUGCGAGUGUAGAGGUGAAAUUCGUAGAUAUUCGCAAGAACACCAGUGGCGAAGGCGGCUACCUGGCACAUAACUGACGCUGAUACGCGAAAGCGUGGGGAGCGAACCGG